AACGAACGCUGGCGGCAUGCCUAACACAUGCAAGUCGAACGAGACCGUCGGGCCUAGUGGCGCACGGGUGCGUAACGCGUGGGAACCUGCCCUUAGGUUCGGAAUAACUCCCCGAAAGGUGUGCUAAUACCGGAUAAUGUCUUCGGACCAAAGAUUUAUCGCCUUUGGAUGGGCCCGCGUUGGAUUAGCUAGUUGGUAGGGUAAAAGCCUACCAAGGCGACGAUGCAUAGCUGGUCUGAGAGGAUGAUCAGCCACACUGGGACUGAGACACGGCCCAGACGCCUACGGGAGGCAGCAGUGGGUAAUAUUGGACACUGGGCGAAAGCCUGAUCCAGCCAUGCCGCGUGAGUGAUGAAGGGCUUAGGGUUGUAAAGCUCUUUUACACGGGAUGAUAAUGACAGUACCGGGAGAAUAAGCUCCGGCUAACUCCGUG
rnacentral:rRNA from 1 species